UCCAAAAUGUGCAGUGUUGGGCUUCUACAGCAUGGGUUGACCUGAGGCAAUGGAAAGUUUUUCUUAUGCCCCUACUGAACUUUCAGCUUGAAACUCCACAGAGAAGAAAUGGAGCAGCUCAGGAGAGAGGCGGACAUUCUCAAAAACAAACUCAUCCGGCAGGAGGAAGAUAUGUUCCAGCUCCAGUCAGAGGCCAGAGAAACAAGGAGACAGUAUGAACACAGCUCUAAAACGUUAGAGUUUCACAGACUCGUACCGCACACACAGUUUUGAACUCGCUCGGAUGGUGUCACAGUACCAGCACACUCAACAGAAAGUGCCUGACCUCAGAGUCACUGUGUCAGAGCUGAAGGACGAGGUGCGAGGUCUCGUCCUGAGAGAAACCCUCUCCACACCUGCACAGGUACCACAGAAACCAGAGCCAUCAAAUAGGUGGAGGCACCAGUGUGUCCGUUUAAAAUCAGACCUGACAGGAAAUGACCUCAGCGAUGCUGGAAGUGGGCUUAAUAGUAACCUUGACAAUAAUGCUGAAGGUGUGGAGAGAGUUUCAGACAGCCCUCCAGAUCUCAGUCUCAGUGACCUCUGACCUUAAACCUGAUGGAAACCUCUGUCUAAUGUUGAUCACACAGCCCUUCCCAAACCCCACAUAAAGUGCAAGAAAACUACCCAACGGACAGGAACUGAUAGCCACG